AGAUAAUGGUUGGCCAAAAUUUGAAGAGAAAUAAUAGCUGUCUUUUUUUUGACAGAAAACA
rnacentral:sRNA from 1 species